rnacentral:rRNA from 1 species
CAGCAGCCACGGGAAUACGGAGGGGGCUAGCGUUGUUCGGAGUUACUGGGCGUAAAGGGUGCGUAGGCGGUUUGAUAAGUCAUCUGUGAAAUCUCUGGGCUCAACCCAGAGUCUGCAGGCGAAACUGUCGGGCUUGAGUAUGGGAGAGGUGAGUGGAAUUUCCGGUGUAGCGGUGAAAUGCGUAGAUAUCGGAAGGAACGCCCGUGGCGAAAGCGGGCUCCUGGACCCCACCUGACGCUGAGACGCGAAAGCCAGGGGAGCGAACGGGAUUAGAUACCCGCGUAGUCCCUGUCUCUUAUAC